CCGUCCUUGGCCUGGGCUACACACGUGCUACAAUGGUCGGUACAAAGGGUUGCCAAGCCGCGAGGUGGAGCUAAUCCCAUAAAACCGAUCGUAGUCCGGAUCGCAGUCUGCAACUCGACUGCGUGAAGUCGGAAUCGCUAGUAAUCGUGAAUCAGAAUGUCACGGUGAAUACGUUCCCGGGCCUU
rnacentral:rRNA from 1 species